ensembl:miRNA
CCAUUUUAGAGGCUGGAAUAGGGAUUAUUGAGUCUGGUAGAGUAAGGAUCCCUUUAUCUGUCCUCUAG